UACGUAGGGUGCAAGCGUUGUCCGGAAUUAUUGGGCGUAAAGAGCUCGUAGGCGGUCUGUCGCGUCUGCUGUGAAAACCUGGGGCUUAACCCCGGGCCUGCAGUGGGUACGGGCAGACUAGAGUGUGGUAGGGGAGACUGGAAUUCCUGGUGUAGCGGUGAAAUGCGCAGAUAUCAGGAGGAACACCGGUGGCGAAGGCGGGUCGCUGGGCAACAACUGACGCUGAGGAGCGAAAGCGUGGGGAGCGAACAGG
rnacentral:rRNA from 1 species